rnacentral:lncRNA from 1 species
ACUUUUAAUUAUGUAUAUGAAAAGUUGACUUGUGUGGGAAUUGGCUACGCAAAAAUUUAAUUUUCUCCCAUUUUUUGGAGUGAAUGCCAAUACUUAGAAUGAACCCAACUACAAGUUUUCCAUAUUUGUGUGCUCAGAAUUCUAUGGUUCAUGUAUAAGAUUAUUCGAAAAAAAAAAUCAGCCUAAUUGUGAUAAGUGAGAUGGAGUGUAAAACACACUCACUUUUGAAACAUGUUGAAGUAAUAACGUGAGAUGGAGCGUAAAACGCAUUCAAAAUAUUUGAAAUCGCCACUAAUUGAGUAACCGGGUGCAUUCAUCACAAAUGUUUGUCCUCGUGUAAAAAAGUUGGCAAAAAUUUCUAUUUUAGCAUGAAUCAAUUACUUGAAAUCUUAAUUCUAGACUAGUUUGGUGACAGUUCUACUAGGUGCGACCUAAUCAAGCUAUUUUUUCCAUUUUGAUAUAGGACAAUAGAUGGAGCUUAAGAUUUGGAGGAACAACAUAAAAUAAGAACGAAAACUGCAGAACAACCAUCUGUCACAGUCUUAGCCUUGGGCAAGGCUUAGACCCCGCGGUAGAAGCAUACUUUGGCCCACGCAUACAAGCCUUGUCCAAGACUUACAUCUCAGCAUAAAGGGGUAAACACAACAAACCCUUGGGCAUAGCUUGCAACAAAGGUAGUAAGAUGGGACCCAAAUUAUACUCAACUAAGCCUUGACCAAGGCCAAUAUGACACUUAAGUUUAAAAGCCCAACGUACAACAGAAACAAGCCUUACCCAAGGCUUGUGUCGUGAUCUGCAAAUUACUUAAAGAAAAGGUGGGCUUUUUAAAAAUCUAAAAAGAUAUCCUCUUUGCCAAGAUUUAAUGGCCAAAAAUCGUGAGGAGAUUGUUUUGGAAAGCUAAGGAUAAGCUAAAAUCAAGGAAACAGAUCCUAGUCAAAAAAAGAAAAGAAAAAAAAAACCCUAGCUCCCUUUCGGCUAUAAAGUGGCGGCUGCCAAGCAGAAAGACAUCCCUUUUCUUCCCGAAGCCUCUGACAGCUACU